ACCAGCAGCAGCAGGAGGAGACGUGGCUGGUCGCUGGUCCCGCCUGCACCCGCGGGGAAGACGACGGCAGCGACAGCUUCAUUUACAUCAUCACCGACAAGCCCCACGACUACCACGCCUCCGAACGUGAGCUGCAGCAGCACGAGGACGAACAAAACAGCGGCGAAGUCACCCUGUUGCUCAAUGCCGACGGUGUUCUCUCCCAGCUACAACACUGAAAACUCAAUAAAUGAUUCUUCCUUGACUUCUUGCUUUUCGUCCACAGUUUUCCAUCUUACUCACCGCUAAUUGUAUAUUUCUUUUCAUGGCAAAAGUGGCUGUUGUAUGUACAUUUGCUGGAAUCGUGCAAACGGGGAUUUUACAAACUGAAAACGUUAGAUGGAGAAAUGAAAAGAGUAUUUUUCUUUUAUAUAUUUAAAUAAAGGCAAUGCGAAUGUUACGGGUGCGACGUUGCUCAUGAGAUGAUCAGACAUGAAGACUACCCAACAACAGACGACCAUCGAUACUUGCAAGUUACCGAGACAUUGGCUAAUAUGGCUAGGGUUGUCAAAUGGCAGCCAGACGAGACUGCCAAAUCAGCUCACAAAAUAAGCUAAAACCAAUGAAACUUCAAUAUUUUCUUGUAAAUUUUUGAGCUGUGGUUAAUAAAUUAAUGACGAUC
rnacentral:lncRNA from 1 species